CGGAAAAGUCUCCGAAUUGGAUCUAGGUUUUGGCUACCCCACCAUUGUCAGGCAUCCCGAGCGCGUUCCCGAAGUCGGAAUCGGCAAAGGUGAGCCGGGACAGCCUUCUUCCUCCGCCCAGCCGCCACAGUAAUUUGUCGUCAAGUUUGUGAGUAAAAUAUUAAUUUUAAUUGUAAUUUCGAUAUUAUUAUAUGUUCAGCAUGCCCAUGCAUCACUUAUAUGCAUAUAUUUAUGUAGUUAAACUCUAGGCACGAUUUAUGUUGCAUUCAUAACUGUUAAUGUGCCAUGAGUGUUGUUGUGGUAAUUUGGAGCAGUGUGCGUGCGUUGGCGUGCGUGUGAUGUGGUGUGGACUAUGGAUAGGACGGGGUAGUCACGGCUUGAGUUCUUCGCUGGGACCCGUUCCUUCGAGGGGUAGUCACGGCUUGAGUUCUUCGCUGGGACCAGGUUGGAUUUAAGAGAGCUGUAUAGGGGAUCAGCUCCCAAUAUAUUAUGAUUGAUGCUACAGGGUGCGUGAGUGCUCCAAAUUACCUUUUUGAUGCUAUGAUGUGAAUAUGAUGUUGAUGUUGCAUUUCACUCUACAGGGUGCAUUAGUUACAGAUAGUUAUAGAGAUUAUGGUUAAAAUUGAUAUUUUACUCUCUGAGUCGAACGCUCACUCCUGUUCAAAAAUUUUUACAGGCCGCAGGAGGAUAUUUUAUUCUGGGUUAACCUGCUUUUAUACUUCGCAGGUUGUUUAUCGAUAUUUGUGUAAUUUUAUGUACUCCUAGAAUUUCCGCAUGUGUUAGCAGUAAUUAUUUGAAUUUGGUCUGUAAUAUUAUUAUCAUGUUGGACCUGUAAACUUAAUAUUCUAUGUCUGUUUGAUGGAUUGGAUGAGGGAGCUGAGCUCCCAUUUAUUAUUA